GAUCCUGCGGAGAAACGGGACACCGAGUCAGGCGCCGCUCGCCUCCCGCCCGCCAGCGCGGCUCGUUCAGAGAUCAGACAGACUCCGAUUUAGUGGUUAUUACGAGCAUAGGGUUGCCACAAUAUCUCCUUUCCAGUGGUCGGGGCGGAGCGCUCGGGCGGUAGCCCGGAGGCGCGGAGCGCCCCGAGAGGACUUCAGCGACAAAAAUCGGAUGACACCCCUCCCUGCUGCCAACUUUGAGUUAUGAUCGUUUCGAGGGCCAAUACUUCGAUCAUUCGGCAGAAGUUUGCAGACUAAAUCAAGGUUCACGAGGGCUUACGCACAUGAGAGGUCCCUCUGACAUCUCUUCGUGACUUUGGACAUCCUAACUGGUCUCCUCUUCCAAUCUAUCACCAGACUGCUGGCAAAGUCUUCAUUUCAUUCACUUGUCCAUAGGACUCGGUGGCCCCUAAGGUCCUACCAAACUAACUGCAAAUUUCUGAAACGUUGGCAUGCUAGGCUUUUCAUGCUUCUGGCUCCAAAUUAUUUCUUCCAGUAUUUCUUUCCACCUUUCCUUGGAUCCAGGUCAGCUGAGCUCCUCAGUGCUCCUUGGACAUGCCCCACGUUUCUAGAUCCUCACCUUUGCUCAUGCUGUCCCUUUGCUGGGGAUGCCAAUCGUCACUGCCAUCUCCACCAGUUGAAAUCCAAGUCCUAUCCACCCUGGCUCUAGCACUCACCAGCUAUGGAGCCUUCGGGGAUUUGUUUCACUUUCUAGUCUCACUUUUCUCAAACGUGAAAUGAAUCUAGUACUUCUAACCGUGAACUGCCGUGCAUUAAAUAACAUUAUCUACGCAAAGAGCCUAACAAUGGUGAAUAAAGUGGGCACUCCAUACAAGAGUACCAUAUCCUCCCACCAUCCUUCCAAAUCUAGGUCAACUUCCACCUUUACCAUGAAGACUUCUUGGGUCCCACUAACCUGCUGUCUCUCCUCCCUGUCUGAAGCCACAACCCUUCUGAGGGUUUCUCAAGUUUUCUUACCAGAGUACAAGGGAGAAUGGAACUGUGUCUUUUUUGGCUAUAGCUUGACACAGAGGAAAGAACACCGCUUUUGAGGGAGGUUGGGGAAACCAUGAUUCUGAACCUGGAAACCAGACUCUGUGACUUACUAGCCCUGUGGGAAGUUAAUUAACGUCUCUGUCUCACAGUUUCUUCACCCACGGAAAGGCCAUUUGAACAGGCUGACAUGAACAGCCUGCAUCAAAUAAGUACUGAGAAUUCUA